AAUGACAAAAAAUAUAAAUGCUACAAAAACAAGCAAGGAUGAACUACGAUUGUAACGGCGGCAUCGGCAGUGGAUGAUUCUUGUUUCGAGACGAUUGACGUACUUUGUUGUUUUAUUUUUUGUUAUCUUUUUCCUAUUC
rnacentral:ribozyme from 14 species